rnacentral:rRNA from 1 species
CCUACGGGUGGCAGCAGUGAGGAAUAUUGGUCAAUGGGCGUAAGACUGAACCAGCCAAGUCGCGUGCGGGAUGACGGUCCUAUGGGUUGUAAACUUCUUUUAUACGGGGAUAAAGUGCGGGACGUGUCAUGUUUUGUAUGUACCUCAUGAAUAAGGAUCGGCUAAUUCCGUGCCAGCAGCCGCGGUAAUACGGAGGGUCCGAGCGUUAUCCGGAUUUAUUGGGUUUAAAGGGUGCGUAGGCCGCCUUUUAAGUGUGCCGUGAAAUUCCGUGGCUUAACCAUAGAAUUGCGGCUGAAACUGGGAUGCUGGAGUAUGCGGGAGGGAGGCGGAAUGCGUGGUGUAGCGGUGAAAUGCUUAGAUAUCACGCAGAACCCAGAUUGCGAAGGCAGCAUAC